GAUGAAGAACGUAGCGAAAUGCGAUAAGUAAUGUGAAUUGCAGAAUUCAGUGAAUCAUCGAAUCUUUGAACGCACAUUGCGCCCGCCAGUAUUCUGGCGGGCUUGCCUGUUCGAGCGUCAUUACAACCCUCAGGCCCCCGGGCCUGGCGUUGGGGAUCGGCGGAGCCCCCCGUGGGCACACGCCGUCCCCCAAAUGCAGUGGCGGUCCCGCCGCAGCUUCCAUCGCGUAGUAGCUAACACCUCGCGACUGGAGAGCGGCGCGGCCACGCCGUAAAACACCCAACUCUUCUGAAGUUGACCUCGAAUCAGGUAGGAAUACCCGCUGAACUUAAGCAUAUCAAUAAGCGGAGGA
rnacentral:misc_RNA from 1 species